GGUCAAGUGGUUAAGACACCGCCCUUUCACGGCGGUAACACGGGUUCGAAUCCCGUACGGGUCACCA
rnacentral:tRNA from 2 species